CCUACGGGAGGCAGCAGUGAGGAAUAUUGGUCAAUGGACGAGAGUCUGAACCAGCCAAGUAGCGUGAAGGAUGACUGCCCUAUGGGUUGUAAACUUCUUUUAUAUGGGAAUAAAAUGUUCCACGUGUGGGAUUUUGUAUGUACCAUAUGAAUAAGGAUCGGCUAACUCCGUGCCAGCAGCCGCGGUAAUACGGAGGAUCCGAGCGUUAUCCGGAUUUAUUGGGUUUAAAGGGAGCGUAGGUGGAUUGUUAAGUCAGUUGUGAAAGUUUGCGGCUCAACCGUAAAAUUGCAGUUGAAACUGGCAGUCUUGAGUACAGUAGAGGUGGGCGGAAUUCGUGGUGUAGCGGUGAAAUGCUUAGAUAUCACGAAGAACUCCGAUUGCGAAGGCAGUUCACUGGACUGCAACUGACACUGAGGCUCGAAAGUGUGGGUAUCAAACAGGAUUAGAAACCCGAGUAGUC
rnacentral:rRNA from 1 species